rnacentral:rRNA from 1 species
GACGAACGCUGGCGGCGUGCUUAACACAUGCAAGUCGAACGGAAAGGCCCUGCUUUUGUGGGGUGCUCGAGUGGCGAACGGGUGAGUAACACGUGAGUAACCUGCCCUUGACUUUGGGAUAACUUCAGGAAACUGGGGCUAAUACCGGAUAGGAGCUCCCGCUGCAUGGUGGGGGUUGGAAAGUUUCGGCGGUUGGGGAUGGACUCGCGGCUUAUCAGCUUGAUGGUGGGGUAGUGUCUUACCAAGGCUUUGACGGGUAGCCGGCCUGAGAGGGUGACCGGCUCCUGAGGCAGGGAGUAAGCACCCGAGCGCAAUGGGGGGGGAGGGGGGGAGGUUUUAGACAAAGGGGCGAAAGCGUGGAGGAAGGACGCCGGGUGUGAGAUACCGUCUUUUGGGUAGUAAACGGAUUUGGACUGUGACAAAGCGUGGUAGAGGUAAAUGGGUAAAAAAGCACCGCUAACUUCGUG